GACGAACGCUGGCGGCGUGCUUAACACAUGCAAGUCGAACGGAAAGGCCCUGCUUUUGUGGGGUGCUCGAGUGGCGAACGGGUGAGUAACACGUGAGUAACCUGCCCUUGACUUUGGGAUAACUUCAGGAAACUGGGGCUAAUACCGGAUAGGAGCUCCUGCUGCAUGGUGGGGGUUGGAAAGUUUCGGCGGUUGGGGAUGGACUCGCGGCUUAUCAGCUUGUUGGUGGGGUAGUGGCUUACCAAGGCGUUGACGGGUAGCCGGCCUGAGAGGGGGACCGGCCACAUGGGGACGGAGACACGGCCCAGACUCCUACGGGGGGCAGCAGUGGGGAAUAUUGCGCAAGGGGCGGAAGCCUGACGCAGCGACGCCGCGUGGGGGAUGACGGCCUUCGGGUUGUAAACCUCUUUCAGCAGGGACGAAGCGCAAGUGACGGUAGUGUCAGAAGAAGCACCGGCCAACUACGUG
rnacentral:rRNA from 1 species